rnacentral:lncRNA from 1 species
CAGAGAUUCUUCCGUUGCCAACCCAAUCCCCUCUGCCAAUAUAUCGCUACAAUAAAAGCUCACACAACUGUUACAUGAGAGAGACCAAAUAUAGCUAACAAUAGAGAAGAAGAAGAAGAGAGGGGCAGAAAGGAAGAGAUUCGCAGGUGCCAAGUAUUAGUAUUGUGUGGUGGCACUGACGAUGGGAAUUAUAUACCAAAAGUUGCCGGAGAAUCGGCGAGCGAAAGGUGGUUUACCGGCUAGGGCGUGGGUGGUGGUGAAACGUGCUGCCGUGAAGGUAGUCGGGCUCUACUUGGGCCGCAGGAGGUGGGCAAUGAGGCAGUCGAGGAGGCUCACAUGGUCUGCGAUUUGGGCCAGGGUGAGAAGGGCCGUGGGCCUGGCACGGGCCCGGCAUGUGCCGGCGGCGAGCUAUGACUCGGUGAGCUAUGCUCGGAAUUUUGACGAUGGGGUGUGGAAGGAGGAGGAGGAGUUUUGGAGGAGCGGGUCCUUUGCACAUAGGUUUGGAAAUAUUCGUCGCUUAGUGGCUUGAAAUGUCCCAUUUCCUUUCUUUCUUUCUUUUCUCCCUUUUCCAAUCUUUUGUCUCUCUUUAUUGUACAUCAGUCAUCAGGAAAUCAGUAUUUUUGUUCCUUUUUCUUUCCUUUUUAUGUUAUUUUCUAUCACUUUUUGGAUGAUAAAAUGUUGCAGUAUACUUUCUAGUUUUUUUGAGUGGAAGCUGGGAUUGGAAUCUCUGAGGAAGCUAUUUGAUCUUAAUAUGACGG